CUGCUUAGUUAAAAAUUCUUGGAUUUUUUUCCUUGCUCUUUGUCUGGAAUAAACGAUUUUAGGUGAAAUUAAUUGAACAUGUGCAUAGCGUGAAAUGGAAAGAAAAAUGGAGAAAGGACUUAAACCACUUUAUAGUGAAAGGUAUUAUAUUUAUCUUUAACACGUAUUUCUAGUUAAAAUCCAAAUCUAUGACGAUGCCCAUUAACAUACGUCCCUUUGAGAGAUUAAAAGUGAAGGGGAUGCUCUACUAAUUAAAAGGCAACAUCCGGACUUAUCCUCCUCUUUUUAUUUCUUGCUUAUAAUUUAUUAAACUUGGUACCUAAUUAUAUAACUUACUUAAAGAUAAAGUUGUAAAUUGGGUCAGGCAUAGGAAUAUGAGGGGGAGAGGUCGCCUAUAAAUUCAUUGCCUAUCGUGAAGCAUAACAAUUGCAGCAAUAACAUUACGUAAUUUUUCAUAUAUCUCUUUCUCCAUUUUAGUAAAAGUAUAGUCAUGUAUUGCAAUUAUGCUUUCUAUUUCACUGUUGCACUUAUGCUGAUAUCUGAAUUUAGUUUAUUUUGGCUCACUCUCCAUAUUUGAAGGUAAUUUUUGCGAGAGACUUAUCGGAGAGUAUGAAAGAACUGAAAUCAAAGAUAAAUGGUUAUAACUUGAUGGGUGGGUGAUGGAUAUUGUAGACGGAGCGAUGAUUGCUUUGAUAGGACGUGUCCUCGUUGUUACUACGAUGUCAUUAAACUUACCUACGGCUGCCGCCAGUAAAAGUUGGAUUAUUGAUGGACAACACAAUAUAAAUUUUGUUGCUUUUAAGUUCCAAGUAUAAGAUGAUGUUUGUGUGGGUUAAUGUCUUUGCAUUUGUGUUCUGCUCUUCUUCUUUCAGCUUCUUGUGUGUGUUUUUUUUUUUUUUUUUUUUUUU